GUGGGUCCCUGCCCCGUACAUCUGGGGCCCUGCCCCAUAGAUUGGUUCUUGCCCCAUAGAUCUGGGUCCCUGCCCCAUACAUCUGGGACCCUGCCCCAUAGCAUGCAGAUCCUGCCAUACGGAUUGGUCCCUGCCCCAUAGAUGUGGGGCCCUGACCCAUAGGUGUGGGUCCCUGCCCCAUAGAUCUUGGGCCCUGACCCAUAGAUCUGGGGCCCUGACCCAUAGAUGCGGGUCCCUGCCCCAUAGAUCUGGGGCCCUGCCCCAUAGAUGCGGGUCCCUGCCCAUAGAUCUGGGGCCCUGCCCUAUAGAUUGAUUCUUGCCCCAUAGUUUGGGUCCCUGCCCCAUAGCAUGUGGUUCCUGCCGUACAGAUUGGUCCCUGCCCCAUAGAUGUGGGUCCCAGCCCCAUAGGUGUGGAUCCCUGCCCCAUAGUUAGGCGUCCCAGCCCCACAGCUUGGUGUCCCUGCCCCAUAGUUAUGGGUCCCAGCCCCAUAGCUUGGAGUCCCUGCCCCAUAGUUAUGGGUCCCAGCCCCACACUUUAGUGGUCCCAGCCCCAUAGCUUGGUGUCCCUGCCCCAUAGUUAUGGGUCCCAGCCCCACAGCUUGGUGUCCCUGCCCCAUAGUUAUGGGUCCCAGCCCCACAGCUUGGUGUCCCUGCCCCACAGCUUGUCCCCUAGCCCCACACUUAGUGGCUCCAGCCCCACAGCUUGGUGUCCCUGCCCCAUAGUUAUGGGUCCCAGCCCCACAGUUUGAGGUCCCCGCCCCACACUUUAAGACCCUUCCCCGCACUUUGGGGUCCGGGCCCCACACCUCGGGGUCCCUGCCCCACAUCUGCCCGUCCCACCCCACACGUGUGGGGCGCAGGGGGCAGCGUCCACGAGCAUUACCGCGAGGAGAAGUGCUAUGGGGACGGCGUCUUCUUCUACCACCUGGGCUGCCACCAGUGGGUGCCCGGCCCCACACUGCGCCCCGGCUCCGGUGAGCGCCCCAUAAGUGGGGGGCGGGAC
rnacentral:lncRNA from 1 species